rnacentral:rRNA from 1 species
UACGAAGGGUGCAAACGUUGCUCGGAAUCAUUGGGCGUAAAGCGCACGUAGGCGGCUUCGCAAGUCGGAUGUGAAAUCCCGUGGCUCAACCAUGGACGUGCAUUCGAAACUGCGAAGCUUGAGUAUGGAAGAGGGUGGCGGAAUUCCCGGUGUAGAGGUGAAAUUCGUAGAUAUCGGGAGGAACACCAGUGGCGAAGGCGGCGACCUGGGCCAAGACUGACGCUGAGGCGCGACAGCGUGGGGAGCAAACAGG